AGAUGAUUUCUCAGAUGCCCGACUUCAACCACACCAAUUCCAUCAAUCUCUAGAGUGGUUGAUUUCUUACGAUCAUUCAUAAUGAUCAUGAACAUGUCCUGGCUUUUCAUCAAAUCAUGCCAGGUUGCAGCGUACUCAGGAUUGCAAGUAUAAUCAGUGAGUUUUUCCAUUUCGAUAAUCUGCAAUACCCAAUCAACUGACUGCUCCCUUUCUUGGAAACAAGACUUUGGGCAGCUCUUCUGAUUGAAGGUUGAAGUUGUGGGUAGUUUUCAGAGUGCGUCAUCAAGACAGGAACUAACACCCUUGUAAGUACUCCCAAAACUUGUUCACAAACUCAUCUGGUGUAGCAGAAACGGCCCUGACCUUUUUUGCAGUGAGAUGAGAAAAACACUACGAGGAAGGAAAUUAGGUAAGUUUAUACCUUUAGCUUCCUCCAGGAUGCUAAUCUCUUCCACCAAGAAGGUCUGCUUUUGUUCACUUUGGAUAGAGAUGGACUGCAAAUUCUCAGAGUAAGCGCUCAGCAUCUCUGCCAGUCUAGCAGUACAAUGCAUUUCCUUUUCAUCUGGAUACUCAUCGAAUUCCCUCUGAUAAAUAUUUUCCUCAGGGACUCUUUGGCAGAAGAUAUGAUACGCAUAAAAGCAGUGACUGCUUCAGGAACCGAUUUCAACUGUAGUGGCAACUUGUUCAGCUCUGCAACACUUGCAGUUAGCUUGUCAUUGAUCUUUCUCACAAUAUCUGGCAAGCAUUUUGAAAUUAUGGUUGCCUGAAUUUGCACCAGUUUCUGGGCUAAAACAGGAAUGCCAACGAUAGACUUGUGGAUCUUGGACAGCAACGGAUGUGUUUCAAAAAGCAUAGCUUCUACAGCUCGAGCUUCCUCGUAUGAUUCAUCGCCAAUUCGAUUUCUCACACAGACGUAUCAAGUCCAAUAUUCACAUCAUCAGCCGUUACCUUCUCGAGCAAGCCUUCAGGGGAUUUGUCGGCCUUUGUGACAACUGCCAGAGUUCUUUCGCCUGUUUUGUCGACUUUUUGGGACAUCCGAAUUGAUUCACAAGUCGAAAAAUCAACAGUAGCUGAUAAAACAUUGAGUAUUAUGCUUUCUUCUGGCUUGAUAUACUCCAUGAUAAUUGCCGAUAUUUGCUCGUAGAUGUCUUCCGGCUGCCCAUGAACUGGAACUCUAGUAAUCCCAGGUAAAUCUACCAUAGUAAGAUCAGGGACACCAUUUUUUUUAACAGUCAAAGUCAAGGGAACAUUUGAUAUUCCCUUACUUUUGCCAGCAAUCUCAUCAGUUGCAACCCUGAUGGCCUCAGCAAUAUGGACCUCAUCGGUUGGAACAAUUGUUCCGUUGAACUCCAAGCUCAGCUCUGGCACGGGACUGGGAUGACUUUGCAGCCUCAUAAUCAAGGAACCCUUGUGCAUAUCCCUUGUCCCCUAGGCAGGCUAAUUCCAGCCAAGGACUCUAGAACGCUGGACUUACCUGAAGAUUGAUCUCCAACAACAACAAUUGUUGGAAGCUGGAUUCCUUCUUGCAUGACUUUAAGGUUUCGUAGCCUGUCUACGCAGUCCAGUAAUGGCCUAAUGCGUUCAUUAUAGGAUGAUACGAUGGGGGCUUGGAUUGCUAGUGGAUCUAUAUGAUCAUGAGCAGCUUCAAUGAGGGCUUUGGUGAUUUCUUCAGAAACAAAAUCGGAGUCAUUGAUUACUGCACCCAUGUUUCUUGUGGCCGUUGGUAUUCAGAGUUUCUACUAUAAUGUCGCAGGUAAGGAUAUCGGGAACUCGGGAGGGAGAAAGGUGAUGAUAGAGCAAGAGAUUUUCAGGUUUGGUGACAGCAAAUGUGGAUUUGUGGAUGAAUUUAUAGGUGAUUUCUGAUCUGAUGUUGAUCUCAGCACUCUCUCUUUUCUCGCAUACUUCUUUUUCUUUUCCUUUUGGUACUGCUUUUGUUGGGACAACAGCAUAGUUGCACGAAAUUUACUUGCCCUGCACUAAUGCUAGAAAUUGGAUAUGAACAAACACAAACAUUUCAUUCUGCUUUUCCUCUGAAAACUAAUCGUGUUCUAUGCUGUAAUUAUUUUGCAAAGUUUGCAAAACGAUUGAUAAAAUUUUUAGAGUACUAAUGGCAACACGCUGUAUAAUUGUGUAAAUUGGUUUUUAUUCGGCAACUGUACAUUAAACAAAUUCUUGUCUUUAAUUUCUAGGGCUAAAUGCAAACAAGAGGAUGCAUAGAAUCAUAUACAAUCUUGCAUAGAACAAUAAUUGCAUGCAUAUAUUAUAGGUAAGCCUUUAGAUUUGUUCCACUCAAAUAUUUUAUAUGUGAUCCUUCUAGUUACUUAAUUAGAGGGCAUAGAUUCUUGUGCUAUCUUUUGAAGUGGUUCGAUUACAAAAUGCAAAUGGCUAGCUCAUGGUCCUUGAUUUACAAAGUGGAAUCUGACGCUUGACUUCCUUUUCUCCUGUCCCUUGUCAUCAGAAAAGCAAAUCCAUCGCUCAAGAAGGAAAAUUAGCUAGAACCCUUCAAUGAUCGUCAAUUAAUUAGUGUUUAAAGAUGUAAUUACUAGUUAUUACAUCAGAAUCAUAUUAUCCGAAGACUUCCAAGGUAAAAUUGCUUAUUUUACUUCAAGUUUAGGUCAUCCUCGUGCUUCACCAUUACGCAAGGGAUCCUCUGCAUCAUGGGAUCAUCCACUAAUGAAGUGUACUGUUGUUUGUUUUGGUGGAAACACAGAAGUGGGAUCAAUUUGUCUGAUCCAUCUCCUUCUUUCAGAACAGAAGCAGGAUCAAUAGCUUAAGAAUUAAGAAAACCCACGACGAAGGAAAGAUUUCGAUCGUACAUAGGUUGGUAAACAUGGCUGGCACGAAAAAGCGAUACAGUAUAUAAAAUUUGACUUCAAAAGCUUGCCCCGCUCUUUCGCCCCACCAUCCAAGGUAGCUAUAACACCUUUUAGGGGGGAAAUUAAUGACAGAAGGAAAAGAUGAAAGGAAAAUUGAACUUCCAAAUGCAACUAUUGUUAAGGGUUAGAGGCACUAAGCACCCUAACUUUGGAGAUAUUUUCACAUUUUUCUUUAACGUUAUUUUUGUUGUAUGUGCCCCUUCUAUUAAGUCACGUCAACUUUUAUCAUUAUUAAAAGGAAAAAGGUCAAAAGUUUCAAUCUUGCCCUUAUCUCCAUUUCCCUUCAUUUUUCUUUUACUUGUCUAAGUUUCUCAUUUCACACCUUUUUCGUAGGUGCAAUUUUUUUUUUUUGGAAAAUUAAGAAUAUGUUUCCAAAAUAUUCCACUUCUAUUUUUUUUUUUUAAAUCUACCAAUAUUAAGCAAACACAAAACUUUGCUAUUGUUAAAAAUAUUGCUCAUUGAUUAUGAACAUCAAUCAAUGGAGGUAAGAUACAAUUGUGGUAAGAUAUCUCUCAAAUACGGGUUAGUGAAAAUAUAAAAAUUUCGACUAAAAAUUUUCUUGUUAAAAUUACAUAGCAUUAUAUUUUUGUAUCUAUUUUAUGAUUUUAUUUUAAAUUUUACGACAGAUUUCAAUGGCAUGUAAUUUUUUAAAAAAGGGGUUGGAACUCGUUUUAAGGACAUUCUACCGAAACAAAAGGAUCGGAUCUUUUUUUCAAGCGUUGUUGUUUCUACACUAAUUUUUACUUUGAAAUCAUUAUUGUCUUUUUUGAUAAACUGUUACUGUUGACCAUUAGUUAAAGGGAGAAAUUACAAUAAAAACAUCCUUAGAGAAAAAAGUGCAAAUGGCAACAAACCUUAGGAGGUUAAGUGCCUGUAACCCUAAGAUUAAUUCUAGUGUUUGAUACUGCUUUGUGACUGCGAACUUGCUACUAUGGAGUUUGCUUUUGUCGAAAUGGGAAGGAAAUUGGAGGGCUAAGUUUUGUUCUGAACUAGACACAAAGUUCUUUAAUUACAUUUUUUUUAACCUUUUACUUCUCUGCAGAUCCUUCUCACUCCCAACUAUCAAUAUUCUUUAAUACUCCCUCCCUUUUUUUAUAACUAACGUUUAAAAAAUUUGCUCUAGUGUACUUUUAUCUGUCGUUUUAUUAUCCAUACAGUAUACAGUAUUAAUUAUUUUUUCACAAUUUUACCCUUUUAUCUCUCUUUUCCAAUACAGGGUUCUUAAUUACUACUCCUAAUAAUAGUUUGGUGAGAGUUAGUUUGCAUUGCUUUUGGCCUAGUAAAACAAUACCAUUUAGUACUCGAGUGAGAGAAAAUAUGGGUGAAUUGGAUAAUUAAUGAGGGUACAAAAGGAAAGUAGUGUACAGAUUCAAGCAAUGAAAAACUUUUCUUAAUUGGUGUGUAAAACCUUAAAUGUCAGUUAUAAAAAAAGGGAGAGAGUAACACAGUAGUAACAUACUUUCACUUUUACGUGUCUAUGACUAUAACUCUUCUGUUUUUGGACCAUAUUUCUAUGAUUAAAUGGAGUAACGGUUUAUGCCCCCUCAUAAAAAUUUCGAGACUGUCUUCCCAAGUCUUCCUUUAUGGUCAUCUUCUUAUUCUUGAAUUUUCACUCGCAUUAUUAUUUUCUCGUCGCUUGUUUCCCAAGUCUUUCCUUUGUCGUCGUCUUCUUUUCUUUUUCACAUCGUUUCCUUUCAGCUCUUGUCAGUAAUGUGUAAUCGCCAAUGAGAAUUGUUACCUUGGAGAGCAAGUGUCAAAAAAUAAGGAAAGAAAUAUCUUCAAAUCUUGUGAUUACGACUUUAAUAGCAUGGUACUAUAUCUGGUGGUUUUUCUCGUUUGAAUUAACUCGGAAAAAGAAAAUUAUUGACUCGUUAACUUCAUGGCUAGUCCAGUCAAGCACGGACAAAUUUACAGAUCUUUGGGCAAACUUUGGCAUUCUUGAUUGGAUUGAAGUUUUUUUGCAGAAAAGCUUUUACGUGAUCGCAUUUCUCAAAUACCCUUUUAUUUCACAUAUAUAAAAUUGUUAUAGUAUAUAUUUUUAUAAAAAAUACAUUUAUGUAUAUAAAAAGACAAUCCAAACGAGUACUUGCGUAGACUAAUUGUCUAACUUCCUCAAAUUUGUGUGUACUUGAUUGGCGGAUUUGUUAUUGUAUCAAAAGAUUGGAUGAACACAAUUACGAAGUGUAUGGAAACAAAGCUCACGGUCAAGGACAAAAUAAUCAGUUAAUUGCAAUGAAAGUAUAGACGACUCCUCCUUCAAGACACAACAAUAAUAUUCCCUUGAGUCCUACCCUUUGUAUAAAUAGGCCGCAAACAAUUCCAACUACUGUGCGAGCAGUUCGAGCCUUACUCGUAAUAUCAAGCUCGAGUUGACCAAAUCGAACUCGAGUUCAAAGUUUGAGUUCAAGAUACUCAAUUCAUUUGCUCACGAGUUGACUCGAAUAUAUACAUAUAUGGUGUGUAUAUAUAUAUUAUUUAAUAGUAAAAUUACGUAUAUAUCCUUAAUAUUUUAUUAUUUGUUAAAAAAUUAUUAUUUUAUUCAUUUAUUGAAAAAUAAAAUAAUAAUUAUUUUUUAUUUUUUUUAACUUGAACUCAAACUUUACAUUGAGAGCUCGUCGAGUUUGAGUUUAAUAAAACUAAGUCGAGAUUGAAUUGAUUAGACCAAAAUUCUAUUUGACUCGGCUCAACUUGUUUGUAUUGUAGAUAAGUUGAUAAAACCAGUCAUUAGAUAGUCAAAUAAGUUGUAAAAGAUUGUUCACUGUGUAAUAGUUCAAGAAUGCCUCGCAAUCAGAAACAAAUAGAAUUAUUUAUGUUUCAACCCUUUUUUUAACUGGCUUCUGAUACAAAACUACAAAUGGAAGUUAUUGAGAGCAAAAGAAUGAGAAUGGGGGAACCCUCCAUUAACUUAAACAACGGCCUUUUGGACCGUUGGCCACACAAAGGCUUCUCAUUCUUUCUGAAAUGGGAGGUCAAGGUUUGAACUUACUUCCAUUAUUUGUCACUUUAUGUGACUUCCCAAAUUCAGUCGGUGGACUAUGUUUAUAUGUACGUCGAUUCGACUCCUGCUCCAGUUAAAAGCAUCCAAUCCGACCAGAGGUGUAUUUACUUCGAGACAUUUGUAAAUUGGAAACUUUGGAAGACUGGGACAAUCGGCACACGGGAAACUUGAAGUCCUCCGUCCUCAACGAACAGGAGAGUUCAAUCCGGAACCUUAUGAUCAUCUAAUCAAUGCUCCUAAGCCUGUCCGGUUAACAAAGUUCUCUCAGAAAGAAAGAAAAUUCAUCAUAACAAACUGGAUUGGGCUCCUCUCCGUACUCAUUCCUUCUGUUUUUCCUUAUCCAUCGUUUGGUAGUACGCAGAAAUAUCCAAAAUUAACAAGUUUUUCUAGCCAAAAUGUUAACGACUCACAAGAAUCUGCAGCAAUUUCCUUGAUUGUCAAUUAACCUUGACGACAAUAAAGAUGUGAAUUAAUGACUUGCAAGAAUCUGCAGCAAUUUCCUGAAUUGCAAUUUAACCUUGAUGACAGCAGUGAUAACAUGUCACGUCAAACUAAAGCAGCGUACAACAGUAAGCAUUGAGAUCCUCUACCGUCACAGUAGUAAAUGCAAAGUGCAGUUAAAGGUAGGAAAUGGGGUAUUUUGAAAUUGAAUGGAGGAGAUUAAAUGUAAAACGCUAAUUUUAAUGUGUCAAAAAAGUUUAUUGCGUCAUUUUACUUUAUUGUAUUAUCGUCCGUAUUUGUUGUGUUAGUAUCUACAUCAAUUAUGUCAUUAUUGUCUAUACUGUAUUGGUAGUCAAUACGAAUGACAGCACAAUCCCCUGAUGGCAAUAGUACAGAGUGUAUUCAAUUUCAAAAACCAGCUUGAAUAUCAGCCAAUAUUCAUGAAUGUGUAUCAGCUUGUAUAGCAUAAAAACUUGCAGUAACCAGCUAAACAUUCAUGAAUUUAAAAAAAGAAUGAAGAAAAAAGAACAAAACAAACAAGAGGGCUCCCAUUGCAAUCGAAAACAUGACCGGAAAAGGCAUAAAGAAGGAAUGAAUCAGGAAAAAGAAGAAUGAGUGAUAGCAGUAUUUGCUGAUCAGAUGGCUAUAAUGCUCCUUGCAGUCCUACCUGAAAAAAGUGCAUCAAGCAGAAUUGAACUUAUAAUAGUAGUUAUCAGUUACUGGUCUGCGGCUGAUGAAAGUAGACAAGAUUUUAUGAGAGGGGCAGGGAACCCCUUAUCAGCUAUGACACGGGUUGGAAUAGGACUGAAUGGGAAGUUGCGGACAAACAGAUCCAGUCACAUUUAGUUCCUUGUAGUAUGGUUUAGCUAGAAAAGCCCGUCUGCAUAUACCGUAAAAGCUUUUUUAAUGCUAGCACGAAUGCUCCGCUCCACUCAAGUUUUAUUGGUAACACAAAAUAGCAAAUUUAAAAAAAAAAAAAAAACAACAAAGCAAUAGUACUUUUACGAUUUUUCAAAUGGCGAAGUAAACAAAGGGUAUUAUGACCAAUCAAUCAGCAUAAGCAGCAAUUUUGUCCAUUAUCUCUGCAACAAUCUCUUUAGACUCCCUCAGCAACUUGAUGCUUCCAUUCAAUCUGUAACGUUUACCAGCAAUAGGUGGAGAUUCCUCCAGCAUCCGUUCCAAUGCACCCCGUGAGUUCCCAUUAACUCAUUCACCAUUUCGGUUUCCAUGUCUUUGUUCACCAGAUUUUGGAUGCUGAAGAGUAAAUGCAAAGCCAUGCUAUCAACCAACCUCCUCAGGACAAUCUUCCAAUAAGCAGUCAUCCUCAUUUUCAGAUCAAAAGCUUCUUGUGCAACGACCAGAUGAUUUCUCAGAUGCCCGACUUCAACCUCACCAAUUCCAUUAAUCUCUAGAGUUGUUGAUUUCGUACAAUCAUUACAACGAUCAUUGAUAAUGUCCAUGAACCUGUCCUGGCUUUCCAUCAGAUCAUGCCAGGUUGCAGAGUACUCAGGAUUACAAGUAUAAUCGGUGAGUUUCUCCAUUUCGAUGAUCUGCGAUACCCAAUCAGCUGACUGCUCCCUUUUUUUGGAAAC
rnacentral:lncRNA from 1 species